UCCUCCUCUUCCUCCUCCUCCUCCUCCUCUUCCUCUUCCUCCUCCUCCGACCUUCCUCCUCCUCCUCCUGCAACUGGACCCCCGCUCCUGCCCGAUGCCCCCUGCCUGGUGCCCGGGGCCCCGGCAGGCGGGUGAGAUUGUGGGACCCCAUCCCCCAAGAGAGAGUAGGGAGAUGGCCCCUGACGAAUGACAUCCAGACAGGUGCAGAAACUCCAGGACCAGGUUUCUCUGCGGGAGAUUCCUGUGGCCGAGAUCCCGAAGCCACGCUCCCCUGAGGACAGGUGAUCCGUACCCCCCUGUGCCAAGGUGGACCUGGGCACCGGCUACCCAAAGGUCAAAAUGCCAUCAGUGACGUAACCUCUCUGGCCAGAGGA